CAAAACAGAACUUCAUCUUAAAAGAGGCUGCGGUGACCACUGUACGUUAAUGAAGCUCAGUUUUGUCAAUUAAGAUGAUAAAUUAAGUAUUUUUAGUGAGAUUCCACUGUUGUGAGAGAGAGUGCAUGGAUUUUCCACACCUGCUGUGAACAUUUGUAGAUGUGUCAACGCUGGAUGUGAGGAUGGGGCUUAUUUUUCUCUGUGAGCUGGGCCUAUUCUAUGCUGUAUUAACUAUUAAGCCAAGCUCAUCAAUUUUUUUCAUCGGAGAGACUGUUAUUUUCACAUGUGACAUGAAGGAAGGACUACACACCGACUGGAAUUACAAAC
ensembl:lncRNA